UACGUAGGGUGCGAGCGUUAAUCGGAAUUACUGGGCGUAAAGCGUGCGCAGGCGGUUUUGCAAGCCGGAUGUGAAAUCCCCGGGCUUAACCUGGGAAUGGCAUUUGGGACUGCAAGGCUGGAGUGCGGCAGAGGAGACUGGAAUUCCUGGUGUAGCAGUGAAAUGCGUAGAUAUCAGGAGGAACACCGAUGGCGAAGGCAGGUCUCUGGGCCGUAACUGACGCUGAGGAGCGAAAGCGUGGGGAGCGAACAGG
rnacentral:rRNA from 1 species